rnacentral:pre_miRNA from 1 species
UUUGUACUCCCUCCGUUCCAAAUUACUUGUCGCUGAAAUGGAUGUAUCUAGAACUAAAAUACAUCUAGAUACAUCCAUACGUGCGACAAGUAAUUCGGAACGGAGGGAGUACCUU